UACGUAGGGCGCAAGCGUUGUCCGGAAUUAUUGGGCGUAAAGAGCUCGUAGGCGGCCUGUUGCGUCCGCUGUGAAAUCCCGGGGCUUAACCCCGGGCGUGCAGUGGAUACGGGCAGGCUUGAGUUCGGUAGGGGAGACUGGAAUUCCGGGUGUAGCGGUGGAAUGCGUAGAGAGUCCGGAAGAACGACCGGUGGCGAAGGCGGUCUGCUGGGCCAAGACUGACGCUGAGGCGCGACAGCGUGGGGAGCAAACAGG
rnacentral:rRNA from 1 species